rnacentral:rRNA from 1 species
AUUGAACGCUGGCGGCAGGCCUAACACAUGCAAGUCGCACGAGUGGCGGACGGGUGAGUAAUGUCUGGGAAACUGCCCGAUGGAGGGGGAUAACUACUGGAAACGGUAGCUAAUACCGCAUACCAUCGGAUGUGCCCAGAUGGGAUUAGCUAGUAGUUGGGGUAACGGCUCACCUAGGCGACGAUCCCUAGCUGGUCUGAGAGGAUGACCAGACACACUGGAACUGAGACACGGCCCAGACUCCUACGGCAGGCAGCAGUGGGGAAUAUUGCACAAUGGGCGCAAGCCUGAUGCAGCCAGGCCGCGUGUAUGAAGAAGGCCUUCGGGUUGUAAAGUACUUGCAGCGUGGAGGCGUUACUCGCAGAAGAAGCACCGGCUAACUCCGUGCCAGCAGCCGCGGUAAUUC